rnacentral:lncRNA from 1 species
UAAUUUCUUAAUAAUUUUAAAAAUCUGAAGCAAACAGGCAAAUAUGGUUUGUUAUGUUCCCUUUUCUGUGUAUUUGAAAUAUUUUGUGAUAAAAGAAAAUAAGCUUGGCCGGGCACAGUGGCUGACGCCUGUCAUCCCAACACUUCAGGAUGCCAAAGCGGGCAGAUCACGAGGUCAGGAGUUUGAGAUCAGCCUGACCAACAUGGUGAAAUCCCGUCUCUACUAAAAAUACAAAAAUUAGUUGGGUGUGGUGGUGUGCGCCUGUAGUCCCAGGUACUUGGGAGGCUGAGGGAGGAGAAUUGCUUGAAUCCGGAAGGCGGAGGUUGCAGUGAGCCGAGAUUGCGCCGUUGUACUCCAGCCUGGGCAACAGAGCGAGACUCUGUCUCAAAAAAAGAAAAUAAGCUUUAUUUCAAUGUUGAAACCCAUUACAGCCCUCUAACAAUUAUUAUAUGUGUAGAAAAUAUUACAAAUUCUAUGAUACAUUUUAAUGGCUCCUUUUAAACUUAAUUUCGCCUAACCAAUGCUGACUGAUAUAACUAGUAAGCAAUACAGCUACCCUGUAAAUUAUUUUUCAAAAGGACAAUCAAGAGUUACUACCCCUGAAAUAAAGGUUUUAUUAAAGAUAAGAAUGACAUAUUUGACAGAAAAACAUUAAAAUUAUAUUUUUUUACUAUCUCAGAGAUAAAUAUGAAAGCAAUUACUUUACUAAUAACAUAUGAAUAAGAAAUAUAUUCUUCCUUCCUUUGAUGUUAAAGAGGCUAUUUAUGUUUGUAACAUUUCUGUUGGAGACAGGUGUUGAUAUGGUUUGGCUGUGUCCCCACUCAAAUCUCAUCUUGAAUUCCCAUGUGUUGUGGGAGGGACCUGGUGGCAAGUAAUUGAAUCAUGGGGGCAGGUUUUUCCUGUGCUGUUCUCCUGAUAGUGAAUCCGUCUCAUGAGAUCUGAUGGUUUUAAAAAGGGGAAUUUCCCCACACAAGCUCUCUUCUCUUGUCUGCUACCAUGUGAGAUGUGCCUUUUACCUUCCGCCAUGAUUGUGGGGCCUCCCCAGCCGCGUGGAACUGUAAGUCCAUUAAACUUCUUUCUUUUGUAAAUUGCCCAGUCUCAGGUAUGUCUUUAUCAGCAACAUGAAAAUGGACUAAUACAGGUAUCAAUUGCUAAAUGUUAUGGCUAGAGAUAUUAUAAGUUAAUAAGGUCACAUGGCUAAUUAAUAAUAGAGUUGCUGAAAACAUACCCUUCAGCUAGAUCUGGCACUUAUCCUCAUUUCUUUUGAACCAUCAGUGAAAUGCCCACCCAAAGACUCUGCUGUGGCUUGAAUGUCCUUGACAAAACUCACAUUGCAAUUUAAUUGGCCAGGCGUGGUGGCUCACACCUGUAAUCUCAGCACUUUGGGAGACUGAGGAAGGCAGAUCAUUUGAGGUCAGGAGUUUGGACCAGCCUGGGCAACAUGGUGAAACCUAGUCUCUACUAAAAAAAAAAAAAUUAGCCAGGUAUGGUGGCACAUGCCUGUGGCAUGUGGUGUGGUGGCACAUGCCUGUAGCAUGGUGGUAUGGUGGCACAUGCCGGUAGCAUGUGGUAUGGUGGCCUGUAGCAUGGUGGUAUAUGCCAGGUAUGGUGGCACAUGCCUCCUGAGACCCAGGAGGCUUGAACCCAGGAGGCGGAGGUUGCAGUGAGCUGAGAUUGCACCAUUACACUCCAGCCUGGGUGACAGAGCAAGACUCUGUCUCAAAAAAAAAAAAAAAAAUUAAUUGCCAUUUUAACAAUAUUAAGAGGUAGGGCCUUUAGGAGGCGAUUAGGUCAUGAGGGCUCUGCCCUCAUGAAUGGAUUAAUGCCAUUAUCAUAGAAAUGGGUUAGUUAUUGCAGGAGUGGGCUCCUGAUAAAAGAUUAAGUUCAACUCCCAUUUGUUCUCUCUGACUCACACUCAUUUGCCAUGUGAUGCCUUCCUCCAUGAGAUGACUCUCAUCAAUUGCUGACACCAUAUUCUUGGACAUCUUGGCCUCCAGACCAUGAGCCAAAUAAAUCUCUUUUCUUCAUAAAUUACCCAAUCUGUGGUAUUUUGUCCCAGCAGCAGAAAAUGGCCUGAGAGAGAACAUUGUUAUUGAGAAGUGGAGCUGUUGCUAUAACAAAUACCUGAAAAUAUGGAUAUGGCUUUGAAACAGGGUAAUGGGUAGAGGCUGGAAGAAUUUGAGGAGCAAGCUAGCAAAGGCCUAGAUUGUCCUAAACAGAGCAUUAAGGGUGAUUCUGGUGAGGGUUCAGAAAAGAAGAAAUGCAGGGAAAGUAGGUGAUACGGUUUAGAUUUGUGUCCCCGCCCAAAUUUCAUGUCUGAAUUUUAAUCCCCAGUAUUGGAGGAGGAGCCUGGUGGAGGGGAUUGGAUCAUGGGGACAGACUACCUCCUUGCUGUUCUUGUGAUGAUGACGUCCACCAGAUGCCAGUGC